GAUGAACGCUGACAGAAUGCUUAACACAUGCAAGUCGAUGGGGAAGUGGUGCUUGCACCAUGGCAACCAUGGCGGACGGGUGAGUAACGCGUAAGGGACUUACCUGCAGGACUGGGAUAACAGGGGGAAACUCCUGACAAGACCGGAUAAUGACAUGGAGCUGCAUGGCUUUAUGAUGAAAGGAGACGCCUGCGGAGAGCCUUGCGUCCUAUUAGCUAGUUGGUGAGGUAAUGGCUCACCAAGGCGAAGAUAGGUAGCCGGCCUGAGAGGGUGGACGGCCACAAGGGGAAUGAGAUACGGCCCUUACUCCUACGGGAGGCAGCAGUGGGGAAUAUUGGACAAUGGGGGCAACCCUGAUCCAGCAAUUCUGUGUGCACGAAGAAGGUUUUCGGAUUGUAAAGUGCUUUCAGCAGGGAAGAAGUAAGUGACGGUACCUGCAGAAGAAGCGACGGCUAAAUACGUG
rnacentral:rRNA from 1 species